AGUGAACGCUGGCGGUAGGCCUAACACAUGCAAGUCGAACGGCAGCACAGUAAGAGCUUGCUCUUACGGGUGGCGAGUGGCGGACGGGUGAGGAAUACAUCGGAAUCUACUUUUUCGUGGGGGAUAACGUAGGGAAACUUACGCUAAUACCGCAUACGACCUACGGGUGAAAGCAGGGGAUCUUCGGACCUUGCGCGAUUGAAUGAGCCGAUGUCGGAUUAGCUAGUUGGCGGGGUAAAGGCCCACCAAGGCGACGAUCCGUAGCUGGUCUGAGAGGAUGAUCAGCCACACUGGAACUGAGACACGGGCCAGACUCCUACGGGAGGCAGCAGUGGGGAAUAUUGGACAAUGGGCGCAAGCCUGAUCCAGCCAUACCGCGUGGGUGAAGAAGGCCUUCGGGUUGUAAAGCCCUUUUGUUGGGAAGGAAAAGCAGCAGGUUAAUACCCCGCUGUUCUGACGGUACCCAAAGAAUAAGCACCGGCUAACUUCGUG
rnacentral:rRNA from 1 species